rnacentral:lncRNA from 1 species
AGAACCUCUCUUUCUCUCUCUAAAAGUUUACUCUCCCUUCUCUCUACUAAUUUAAAAUUGUUGUAAUAUUAUUGUACAUCUUUGAAAUAUAAAUAAAAGUACAAGAUUUCUGCAGAUCCUUAUUGGCAAGGUACUUCUUUAUUCUUUAUAUCUUCUUAUUCUUUAAAUUUUGUGUUUAUUAAGCCCAAUGAUGGGCUAGGUUCCUAAGUGUUGAAUAAUAACUAAUAUAGCAUGGGGAUGAUCGGAAAAGGUAAUGACUCUAAAUGAACAGUUUGCCUUGAAGGGGUAAAGGUUGUGGUAUGGGUGUUAGUUUAAAUAAUUUUAUAGCAAACUAAGCUUAAAUCAUGGCGUUGGUAAGCCCUAAGAGGGGUGUUCCCGACAUGGUUAGUGAGGGAUUAUAUCGGGUAUAAACCUUGUGAUUCCGUUGGUAAGUCAUGUAUGGCUGGUUGAAUCGCCUAUGGAUGUUCCCGGUUGGGUUUAUAAUGAAUAGUUCCGUGGUUUGCAUAAAACCAAUUAAACUAUAUAAAUCCCUACUUCCUAAAAGGUCCUACA